rnacentral:rRNA from 1 species
UGGGGAAUAUUGCACAAUGGGCGCAAGCCUGAUGCAGCCAUGCCGCGUGUGUGAAGAAGGCCUUCGGGUUGUAAAGCACUUUCAGCGGGGAGGAAGGCGUUAAGGUUAAUAACCUUAUCAAUUGACGUUACCGACAGAAGAAGCACCGGCUAACUCCGUGCCAGCAGCCGCGGUAAUACGGAGGGUGCAAGCGUUAAUCGGAAUUACUGGGCGUAAAGCGCACGCAGGCGGUUGAUUGAGUCAGAUGUGAAAUGCCCGGGCUUAACCCGGGAAUUGCAUCUGAUAAUGGUCAGCAAAAGUCUUGUAGAUGGGGGUAGAAUUCCAUAUGUAGCGGUGAAAUGAGUGGAGAUGUGGAGGAAUACCAGUGGCGAAGGCGGCCCCCUGGACAAAGACUGACGCUAAGGUGCGAAAGCGUGGGGAGCAAACAGG